GCUCCAGACCAAACCGCCAGACCACCUCGCGGGGCGGGGCCAGAAAGCGGCGAAGCGGAGCCUGACGUCACGCCCGGCGCCCUCCGGGCCAAUGGAUGGCCGCGCGUUGGGGGCGGGGCCGCGCGAUCCUGAUGCAGUGAAAAAGAAUUCUGCCUGCGGAUACAGAAGACGGCAAGAAAAUGGGUUCGAUCCCUGAGUUGGGAAGAUCCCCUGGAGAAGGAAAUGACAACUCCAGAACUGUCUGGGAAAUCUCAUAGACGGAGGAGCCUCGCAUUUUUACAAUCCAUGGUAUCUGCAAAAGAGUGAGACACAAUUUAGCGACUUAGCAACAACAACGUCAAUCGGCAUGAAUUGCGUGUAACAAGACCCAGGUUAUUCAUACGUAAAAUAAAGCUUGAAGCUAGAAAGAUCUCUGCAAAACUCAUAGUCAUUUAUUUAGCGGGGCGGUGGCUUACCAAGAAGAAGAAGAAGAAAAAAAAAAGACAAGGUUUACUCUCUCCUUUGAUGGUUCCAGAAAAAUUAAUCAGCCAACUUAAACUGUUGCUUUCCAGUCUUCAAGGUUAACUGCUGGUUUACCCCUAAUAGAGAAUUGUUAUCAGAUUUCAUUUAAAAAGAGUGAGAUUCCAACUCGAAAAUUUCAUAGUUCUAUAGCAAUAUGAUAAUAAUAUAUUUGUAAUUAUAUUUAAAAAUCGAGUAAGAUAUGGAAAAUAUCUUAAGAUAUGGAAAAAGGACUCAAGAGCUAGCUCGAGCUGCAAAUUGGUUAGAAUGGUCCUAUUGAAAAAGCAUUUGGGUUAUAGGCGCUCUAGCUUUUAGACAGCUCCUAGUUUUAUAAGUAGGAUUUUAUAAAUAGAUAUAUUUGUUAAUAAAAUAAAAUUUUAUAUAUCGGGUGACUCAAGUUUAUAUUUGAUCUUGGAUUAGCUCCCAGAGCAUUUUUGACUGUUGUCUAUUCAGUUAAUAAAUAAUUACUAAGUGCCUGCUUAGUGGAAGACAGGAUGCAAUGGUUUCUUGAUGUCACUAGUUUUAAUCACAAUUUUCAUAAGGAAUUAAAAAUUCCUCUUAAUUAUGUACUAUUAUCUGCUAAAGUCAGCUGUUAACAUUUCCUAAUACCUUAGAGUUCAUUUCAUUCCUCUGCUGUUAGUCAUACUUCAGUGAUGAAUUUCUUUCACAUGUUUGCUUUUUAAAAAUGUUCAUACUAGAUCUUUUUUUUUUUACUGUAAUCACUAUUUAAUCAAGGCUAAUGUUUAUAGUUCAAGUUGAUGGGUCGAAACCAUGCUCUUUUCCUAAAUCCUAUUGAAAUCACGGAAGAAUUACACAUAUUUGAAAAUCACUGUCAGUGGGCCAGAAAUUGAGGAAUUUCUAGAAGAUUUAAAACAAGCCAGCAGCAUUGGAUAAUUGAAAAACUGAGAAAAGAGAAACGUGGACCUGCAAAGGGAAAGAAGGGACCCCUGGAGCUGCCACUUUACACAGCCUUGCUUAAAAACUCUUAUAAUAAUUCAACAUAUUUUAGAUUAUAUCAUAUAUGCCUUGUUAUGAUUGCUAUAUUAGAGUAAAAUAUAAACAAUACAUUCCUUCCUCAUACUUCUGUGCAAUGUUAUAACUUUUGCAAGAAAUGUUUAAUGAGAUUAACUUGGAUCUUAUCUCAUUUAAAAUAUUUAAUGUUAUCUUAUUUGAUUAAAUAAUGAAACAUAUUUACUUAUUUGUCCAAAAUCA